rnacentral:lncRNA from 1 species
GCCCAUAGAAUCUACCCCUAGUUUUGUGAGUACUCGAUGAUUUUACCCUCUAUUUUGACAUCAAAUAUUUGGCGAAUACUUUCAAAGAAUAUUUACAGAAAAAGAUGCAAAUAUUCUAAAGGCGAGCAAAGUUUCUUGCGUGUGCUUAUAAUCAAUUAUCAGCGAAACUGGGACACUUAGUAUAAAGAAGUUAGGGAUAUUUAUAUUUUGCCUUUGAAUAACAAGAGUGACCGAAAAAAAAAACAAAAGUAAAAUCAAAACCGGCCUUCAAAUCCUACAAGUAGGAGUGCAAACGGAUCAGAUACCUUUGAUAUUAUAUUUAUUUUUAUAUAUUCAUUUCAAUUUGGAUUUAAAUACGGAUAAUAUCUACCAUAUCAGAUAAACUCCUCUAGUCGCAUUCAGACUCAAAUACUGCACCCAUACCUACAAGAGCAACAAUACGAUCUCCCAAAGUAAAAAAACAAACAAACAAGAACACUAGUAUGACAAAACUGCUGGCGCAUGGCCUACCUAGGUAAUGAUGCAUGUGCAUGUGGCAACUGUGGGUCUGAAGGUGGUGGGCAUGGGAAGCUCCACAGGGCACAGCGGCCCACCGAGCAUGCAAACCAGGACAUGCAUAUGCAUAUGGGGGCAAGCCCGCCAUUGCAGCCAACAAAAUGCUCCGCAGCCUUUUCGGCUGGGCCGGGAGGACGAGGGACGUCCCUACUCGCCCCUCGUCAUCCUCAGUCCUCAGACAGGAAUCAUUGCCAUCUCCUGACAAAAUAAUCACAUGGGAGUAGCC